AGAGGUGGGCCCGACAGCUGUGGGAAACACAUUCUUGCCUGGUUCUCUCCCGGCCAGUCAGCUGAAGCAGAGGCCCUGCCUACCCAGAGAUUUUCUCAAAGCAGCACGGCUCCAGGGCCUGCUCUAAAGAAAGCCAUAAACCUGAAGCUACUAAGGUCUGGCUCCAGGAAAUCCUGAAUCCAGGAAGGAUGCUCAGCGGGACAGAAUUGAAGACAAUAGUUCAUCAUCUUUCCUUCCCAGGAUCGAGAAUAUCCCAAGGAAAUGCCAAGUAAAAAAGUAAAAUCAGCGAUUGAUUUUGCGUUUGGAGAACUGACCACGUUUCUUGAUCAAAUGCCGAUUGCAAGUCUGAGUCAAGGUUGAGCAUAUAAAGGAAUCCUCCCGGGUACCUCCCCUUGGGGUCUUCACAUGAUGUGAUUUUGAAAAACCAGACUCGGGCGAUCAGAGACCUCACUGCGGAGGAAAUGAAGGAUGCCUCGCUUCCAAUACCUGGCUCCCAUGAACACUCCCUCGGGUCCCUGCUAGCGCCAGCCUGAGACAGAGAGCGCUUCCUGUCCUGCUGACUGCAGAAGUUAAACGGAAUCUCCACUCCCGGAUUGAGGAAAGAAAGGCGUCUUCCUGUUGAUUUUCGCGAGGCUGCUGACCUUCGCGGCGCCCCGACUGGGCCCACCCCGCGGAGCUGUCGGGGCAGCAGGCGCCCAGGACUUCCUGAAUCCCCGGCCCCUCUGGCCUAACCUAGAUCUCCCAGGACUCAGGCCUGGGAAAAUCACGGCGUCUGCCAGGCCCUCCUCGCAGGCUUUGCAGUUUGCUAACUCGCGGUGCGGCCUUGGGACAGUGCCUCAGUUUCCCCAAGUGUAGUGAAGUAGGGCUGGACCGUGAUUCUCAGAAUCACCCAAGAAGCUUUUCCAGCAUCGCCUGCCAGGGUGUCCCUGGGGACCCACCGGAUCGGAGAGGGGGUCGGGGGCGAAAAGCGCCAGGAGGCUGGCAGCCCGGGCUGGAACCCGGGACUCGGGCUCGCCCGCCUCGGCAGCUACUCCACGGUCUGCCUGGCCCCGGAGCUCGCCUUCGGCCUGGGCGGGGUCUUGCGCGUCUCCGGGCCGGUUCCGGGAGGCCGGGCGGGGCGGGGCGGGCCGGGCUGGGUUGUCCCACCGGAAAGACUCGUUUCAGCUGGAGCAGGCGGCGGCCGGGCGGAAACAGACUUGUCGCCCCCGCCUCGGGCACUCCCCGCUCCCCCACCCCACCACCCUCCCCCCCCGCCCUGCGCGGCCCGCCAGGGUCCGGGAAUCGCUGGCCUGCAGCUGGGGCAGCCCCGGGUCACCCCCGCCCACGCCUUCCCCGCCCACAGGACGCGCCCCCUAGGCCACACCUGAGCUCGCCCUGCGGUCCCGGGCAGUGACUCCGCCGAGCCUCGGUGGGGGAGGGGACAGGGGAGAGAAUAGGGAAGAGGGGCGCGAUCUGUGUCUGGGACCCGUUGCCAAGAAACCCGACCCUCGGGCUCUGGCCAUCAGCAGCCGCGGUGCAGCUGCCUCCCCCUGCCUCCAGGUCGCCCAGCAGAGCUUUCUAGAGCUGGGUGCUCAGAAGACCCCAGGCGGAGGCAAGAACCUUGGGCCGCGGCUCUGUGGGAAAAGCCCUCGGGGAAGCCAGACGGCGCGCUCCAGCUCCCCAUCGCGGGCGUGGGCCCCGGGGUGGAGGCAGUUGGGUCGCGGCCCUGCCACCCCCAUGCUGCACGGCCUCGGCCCAGUGCCACCACCUCUGUGGGCCGCCGUUUCAGCCUCCAGAUGGGGUGGCGGCGGGCCCCAGCCCUUGCCCCAAGUCUCUAAGGAAGGGUCUGGCCUGGCCCGCCCAGAUCCGAGCUGCUGCGUACGCGCGGGGCUGGGAGCUGCAAAAACGCCCGGGGCCCAGGGUGAGCGGCUGGGCCCUCGGGGGACCCGGCGCGCGCGGGGGCUCCAGCUCCGCCCUGUUGGGGGCCAGAGCAGGAGGGAGGCCGCCCCAGCUUGUUCUGGGCCGCAGCCCUGCCGACCGCACGGGACAGGCGCCGCGUCCUCUCUGGGCCUCCAAGACGCAGACUAGAAGCCCAUAGCUGCUGGGAAGAUGGGCACCCCAGGUCUCCGCGCACGGCCUUCCCAGGGCCACGGUGAAACAUGGAUGCGACACUCAGGCACCUUCCCGGCCCCCGGCGAAAACGCAAAGCCUGAGCCCAUGAUGGGCUCGGAAGCUCUGCGGGAUUGAGUCAUCAGAGGAAUGCUGAUCUAGAAGUACAAUGGCUGGAAGACACCCGCAGAAACCGCGGGCACUGGAGAGCAAGUGCAGCUUUAAUCUCCAGGCGUGAUUUAGAUGGAAAGCAGCCUGAAGACCAGUUAAGAGAACCGCGAGCAGAGCGCGCUGGACUAGCACCAACAGACGUGAGUUCGAGACCGUCCUGCCCCUUAAUCCUGUGUGACCUUGGUCCAUUUUUUAAGUCUGUGAGCCUCGCAGUGUUCUCAUUCCUGAAAAGAGCCUGCCCCAUCUCCGGACUGCAGUGAGAACAAAAGGAGACUAUGAACAUGACUUUUUGCCACUUUUGAAGCCCCACACUGAGGAAAGAUUUUCCUAGCACUUGGGAGAUUUUCUUUAGCACCAGCUGCCAAGAAUGCUGGGAAGGAGACAGCCCCAUCCCAGAAGGAAGACACCUUAAAUCAGAACUUUAUUUUUCCUCCUAUGAAAAUACAAUCUAAUACUGGAGAAGUGUAAAAAUUAAGGAGUCAUUAGAAGCCAUUUGUUGUUGUUGUUGUUGUUAUUGUUUUGAGACAGGAUCUUACUCUGUCACCCAGGCUGGAGUGAGGUGGCACGAUCAUUGCUCACUGUAGCCUCCAACUCCUGGACUCAAACAAUCCUCCCUUCUCGGCCUCCCAAGUACCUGGGACGAGAGGUGCACUGGGCGUGGUAGCACACAUCUGUAGUCCCAGGUACUUUAGAAGCCGAGAAGGGAGGUCUCACUAUUUUGCCCAGGCUGGUCUCCAACUCCUGGGAUCAAGCCAUCCUCUUGCCUCGGCUUCCCAAAGUGUUGGGAUUAUAGGUGUGAGCCACCACUCCCAGCCUGUUGUUUUAACUUUCUAUCAAAGAAAUGGAUGGAGGGUGGACAGGGAUGCUGGGUGCUUUAGAUUAGACUUGAAAGAGUUAACAGCAUAGGUUACAGAAUCACACAUACCCGAAUUGGAAUCUCAUCUUGACCCUUUACUACCACUGUUUCGUUAUGUUAGUGACUUAACCUCUCUGUGCUUCAGUUUCUUCAUCUGUAAAAUGAAGAAAAUGGCACCAACCUGUGGGGUUGUUGAGAAGAUGAAAUGCAAUAGUGAAUGUAAAAGUGCCUGACAGGACCCAGCACGUGGUAAUACAUAAUAAAUGCUAGCUAGUUUUGGUUUCCAUCCUUCCUUCCUACCAAUUUUUAUUGUAAAAUAUUUUUAAACAUGCGGAAGAGUUGAAAGAAUCAUACAGUGAACACCCACGCAUGUUCCACCUAGCUUCUGCAUUAACAUUUUUACUCUAUUUGCUCUAUCACAUAUCUGUCCAUCUAGCUUUCUUUCCCUCUAUCCAUAUAUCAAUCCAUCUGUUCUGGUUACUACUGUUAUGUAACAAAUUCCUCAAAACUUCGUGACUUGAAAAAAACAGCCAUUUUUGUCAUGCUCAUGGAUUUCAUGAGUUAGAAAUUCAGACAGAUUGGCUUGUUGCUGCUCUAGGACGUCUGGGGUCUCAGCUCGGAGGACUUGAUGCCUGCAGGCUGGAAUCGUCCUGAGGCAUCUUCACGCACAUGUCUGGGGGUUGCCAGCAUCGUGCCUGCGUGUGAUCUCAUCAUGAAGCUCAGACUUCCUCCCAGCAUGGUAGCCUCAAGGUAGCUGAACUUCUCCCAGGGCGGCUCAGAGCUCCGAGAGUGUGUUCUGGCAAACAAGGCAGAAGUUGCAGUGCCUUUAUAACCCAGCCUUGCAAGUUACAUAGCAUUGCUUCCUGUUGGUCAAAGCAGCCAUAGAUUCAAAUAGGGGAGAAUUAGGUUCCACCUCUUGCUGGUGAUGUGGGAGGCUCAUUUUGUAGAUCUGUGGCACAGGAACUGUUGUGGCCAUCUUUGGAGAUGCCACAUUUACCCCUUUGGUCACAAUAAUGCUUGUGCAAUAUGCACAAAUUCUCAUUCCAUGAAAUCAUCAGGCUCAGAGUCCAAGAUUCCUUUUUAUUGUUGUUGUUGGCUUUUGUUUUUUAGAGAUAGGGUCUUGCUCUGUUGUCCAGAUUGGAGUGCAGUGGUGCCAUCAUAGCUCAUUUGAGCCUGCAACUUCUGCUCCAGUGAUCCUCCCACCUCAGCCUCCUGAAUAGCUGGGACUGCACACAUGCACCACCACACCCAUCUAAUUUGGUUUUUAUUUUGCAGAGACAGGGGUCUCGCUAUGUUGCCCGGGCUGGUUUUGAACAUCUGGCCUCAAGCAACCUUCCCACCUUGACCUCCCAAAGUGCUGGGACUACAGAUGUGAGCCAAUAAACCACUUCAAAAUAAACCUUUCUUGUCCGGGCGAGGUAGCUCACACUUGUAAUCCCAGCACACCAGGAGGCCGAGGUGGGUGGAUUACCUGAGGUUGAGCAACAAGGAGAAACCACGUCUGCACUAAAAAUACAAAAAUUAGCUGGGUGUGGUGGUGUGCGCCUGUAAUCGCAGCUACUUGGGAGGCUGAAGCAGGAGAAUCACUUGAACCUAGGAGGCAGAGUUUGCAAUGAGCUGAGAUCACGCCACUGCACUCCAGCCUGGGCAACAGAGCGAGACUCUGUCUCAAAAAAAACCCAAAAACUAAAAUAAGCCUUUCUCUCUUUUGGGUUCCCCAUGAAAUUGCUGUGGGACAAUGCCCUUAAGAUUCCUAGAAGUUGGUUGGGCGCAGUGGCUCACGCUUGUAAUCCCAGCACUUUGGGAGGCUGAGGUGGGUGGAUCACCUGAGGUCAGGAGUUUGAGACCAACCCGGCCAACAUGGUGAAACCCUGUCUCUACUGAAAAUACAAAGAAUUAGCUGGGCAUCGGGGCAGAUGCCUGUAAUCCCAGUUACUCAGGAGGCUGAGGCAGGAGAAUUGCUUGAACCUGGGAGGCAGAGGUUGCAGUGAACUGAGAUCCCAGGCUAUGCACUCCAGCCUGGGAGACAGAGCAAAACUUAGUCUCAAAAAAAAAAAAAAAAAAAAAGAUUCUUAGAAGUCCUAUUGUUUAACACAGAGGAUCUACAAAGUAUGCUGUUAGUUUCCUUAAGAGGCUUUUUGUCUGGUUGAAAGGGUCUACAAGGCACCACCAUAAAAUUUUCUCAUAUCUUAAAGAAGAACUUUACAGUGGGGCACUUGGUUCACCCUUACCCUGAGCUGCUUUCCUAACAGUGCCCUGGGUCUGAUCUUUGCCCUUUUUGAAUCUUCCACUGGGAGAAACGUGGAAUGAGAAACAGUUUUUUGUUUUGUUUUGUUUUUUGAGACAGGGUCCCACUAUGUCACCCAGGCUGGAGUGCAGUGGUGCAAUCGUAGUUCGUUGCAGCCUCAACCUUCUGUGCUUAAGCGAUCCUCCUGCCUCAGCCUCCCAAGUAGCUGGGACUACAAGUGCACGUCACCAUGCCUAACUUUUUAAAAAAUGUAUUGUAAAGAACAUUUUUUAAAUUUUUAUUUUUAUUUUUUAUUUUUUGUAGCUAUGUUGCUCAAACUGGUCUCAAAUGCCUGGGCUCAAGCAAUCCACCCGCCUUGGCCUCCCAAAACGCUGGGAUGACAUAUGUGAGAUACUGUGCCCAGCUGAGAAAUAGUUUUUGAAUCCACCUGGUCCCGACUUCUAAAUUCUGCCUGAAGCUGAAUAUUUCUUUCUCUUCCUCUACGAUACAGAGCUAAGAGAAAACAAAUGGUAGCUCAGGACUCUGCUUGGAAAUCUAGAAAUAGCUGGAGGCUGGGCUAGGACAACUUGAAAAUUAAGACAAGCAAAUGGAGGAAUUUCAUGUGGCUUAUCAAUGAAGUUGGCAUCAUGACUUCAUGGUGCCUCAAGAUAGUCAGACUUCUUACCGGAUGGUUCAGGGCUCCAAUCACAAGUGUUCCAGUGAGUAAAACGGAAGUGUCAGGAACUUUUCUGGCGCAUGCUUAUAAGGUACACAGUAUCACUUCCAUGUAACUCUGCUGGCAGUUGAGUGACUGUUCCACUCAACACUGAUGGCAGUCACACGCCCAUCUAGAUUCAAGGAGAGGGGAAUUAGACUCUAUGUCUAGAAAGGGGAGUGUCACGAUUACAUUUAGCAGAACACGUGGGAACGGAGAUGUUGUUGUAGUCAUUUUUGGAAAAUACAAUCUGCCCCACUGUCCAUGUUUUGAUGCAUUUCAGAGUACUUUAUAGACAUCAUUACACUUCCCCAAAAUUCACCAAAAAUGUGUGAGAGUUUCGACUGCCCUCGUUCUCACCCGCAAAUGGAGCUGAGGGCCAUUUACAUUUUAAUCAUUCUGGUUGGUGGGUAGCAGUAUCUCAUUGUGGUUUUAAUUUGCAUUUCCCAGAUAACUAAAGAUAUUGAAUAGUUUUUCAUGUUCUUAUACACCACUCAUAUCUUCCUUGGUGAAGUAUCUUUUCAAAUCUUUGGCCCAUUUUUUGGACUUUAUUUAUUGAUCUUUUUUUUUUUUUAGAGAGACACUCUUUGGCUCAAGUGAUCCUCCCACCUCAGCCUCCUGAGUAGGUGGGACCACGGGCACAUGCCACCAUGCCCAGCUAAAUUUUUUUUUAUCUUUUGUAGAGAUAGGGGCAUCUGUAUGUUGCCUAGGCUGGUCUUGAACUCCUGGUCUCAAGCGAUCCUUCCACUCGGCCUCCCAAAGUGCUGGGAUUACAAAUGUAAGCCAAAAUGCCCAGCUUGAGAUUUUUUUUUUUUUUUCCAAAUGGAAAUCCAGUUGGUCCAGUACAAUUUGUUCAUGAGUUUCCUUUCCCUGUUGGAUUGCAUUAUGUUUGUCAAAAAUCAGAUGGCUGGCCAGGCGCAGUGGCUCAUGCCUGUAAAUCCCAGUACUUUGAGAGGCCGAGGUGGGAGGAUCCCUUGAGCCCAGGAGUUCAAGACCAGCGUGGGCAACAUAGUAAGACCCCAUCUUUUUUUUUUUAAUAAAAAAAAUCAAAUGGCUGUAUUCAUAAAUAUGUGUUUCUGGGUUCUCUAUGCUGUUCGUUGAUCUAUUUAUUCCUCCUAUUGCUGGUCCCACACUGUCUUGAUUACUGUAAUCUUACAGUAAAUCUUGAAGUUCUCGUUCCUUUUUGAGUAAGAUGAUUCCUUUUUAAUGGACAAAAUAUUGCUGACUUCUACAUAGCUGUUGCAUUUCUAGCAUGUUGAUUUAGCAAAUAAAAGUAGUAAAAAGAACUUGUGAACACCUGAAAAUGACCUUGGAUCUUAGUGAUCACAAUGACAACUACAGAUAUCUAGAAAUCUGUCACCUAUGCACAGGUGGACAUCACAUGGGGAUGUGUGAUGGCCCUGAGGUGACCACGUAUUCCUCAGCAGGAAAACGGGGUGUUUUUCUGCUGCUGGAAUCACUGAUAGCCAUCAAUUUAGGUGAGAUUCCCAAAGCAGUGGAUUUCUUUUCAACAGGAAGAUAAUCAGUUGAGUUUUCCAAUUUGUCCAUGUGAGGUUUCUUCCAGACUGAGCAAGAUACACAGGGAUGAGAGAAGGUACUCUAUGGGAUUUAGUCUUUCCCAGGAGACACUGGAUUGGAUGUCCCAAGAGGACCGUUAUGAGUUGUGUGUCCCGCAAAUUCAUGUUUUAGUCCUCACCCCUACUGUCUCAGAAUAUAACCUCAUUUGGAAAUAAGGUGUGUCUGAGUCUGUUCUUGCACUGCUAUAAAGAAAUACCCGAGACUAGGUAAUUUAUAAAGAAAAGAGGUUUAAUUGGCUCACAGUUCUGAAGGCUGAACAGGAAGCAUGGCUGGGAAGGCCUUGGGAAACUUACAAUCAUGGCAGAAGGCAAAGGAGAAGCAGGCACAUCUUCCACGGCAGGAGCAGGAGGAAGAGAGAAUGAGGCGGGAGGUGCUACGCACUUUUACAUAAACAGAUGUCUUGAGAACUCACUGUACAGUACCAAGGGGGAGGGUGCUAAACUAUUGGUGAGAACUCCACGCCCAUGAUCCAAUCACUUCCCACCUGGCCCCACCUCCAACACUGGGGACUACAAUUUAACGUGAGAUUUGGAGGGAAACAGAUCCAAACCAUAUCAAGGUGGUUGCAGAUGUAAAAUGAGGUCAUGUGCACUGUGACCUUAUGAAAAGAGGACACAGAGACAGACAUGCAUAGAGGGAAGAUUCUAUGAAGAUAUUUGGAGAACACCCUCUUCAAGCCAAGGAGGGCCUCAGACUGCAAGAAACAGGACAGAGGCAUAGAAAAGAACUUUCCUCAGCCCUCAGAAGGAACCGCCUAUUGUGCUGACACCUUGACUUCUGAUUUCUGGUCUCCAGAAUGGAAACAAUACAUUUCUGUUUUUUGUUUUGAAACAGGGUUUUGCUCUGUCGCCCAGGCUGGGGUGCAGUGGCAUGAUCUCGGCUCACUGCACCUCCACCUCCCAGGCUCAAAUGAUCCUCCCACCUCAGCCUCCCAAGUAGCUGGGACUACAGGCGCAGGCCACCAAGCACGGCUAAUUUUUUAUUUUUAUUUUUGAAGAGACAGGGUUUCGCCAUGUUGCCCAGCCUGGUCUCGAACUCCUGGGUUCAAGCGAUCCUCCUGCCUCAGUCUCCCAAAGUGCUGGGGUUACAUGUGUGAGACACCACACGUGGCCACAUUUCUGUGUUUUAAGCAACUCAUUCUGUGUUAUGACAGCCCUCAGAAACAAAUACAAGUCCCCAGCCGUCUGCUGUCCGCCACGCAUGCCUGGCCUUCGAUGGGCAACGAGGUCCCACUUUUCCCUCUGGGACCCACCUCUUUCCUAUUGCAUGUGGCUCGUGGGAAGUCAACCCCAGUGCCCACUGCCUGGCAAAGGGUUCAGCUCAAUGCCCAGCUCCUGCUAGGAGUCUCGAGUUUUGAGUGGAGGGACCUGGGGUGUACAAUGCUUUGUGCUGAGCCAUUCUAAUGGCAGUACCCCCAAAUCCUGCUUGCACCCCCACAUCCUCAGAUCACCUUGGUUCCUAAUCUACCCAAGGCUGACUGUCUAGCUUUUGUGUUGUCCCAUGUCCUUUCAAUAACAAUAAUGAUUAUUCUGAUUUGCUAAUGUUAGCCAGCGCUGGCUUCUGUUACCUGCAACAAAAAUCCCCAGUUGACCCCGUCAUGCCCUUGGCCUCGGCUCGGUUCUUCUUCUCUCCUGUCUAAAAGCCAUUAGGUGGAGCCAAGGAAAACAGGCACUGUUGCAGGGUGGAGGUGGGCAGUGCCAGUGCCGGCAGCCUGGCACGGAACACCGGAGCCCAGCAGGGUAAAGGAAAUUGGUGAAAUCUGGUGUGGGAUUCUGGAGCCCAGUGAGAUGAGGAGGAUGCACUGGGAGGUGGCAGGGGCGGGGCUGGGUAGCUGCCCCAGCCCAGCACAGGGCAUUGCAACAAAAGCAGGAAGAGCGGGGAGUCCAGUGUGAAAAAGUAGUCUCAGUUGGAUGAGGCGGUGACUGCACGGAGUGGAGUAGGGGUGGGAGGUGGUGCUGUGCGGGUUGUUUGAUCCCAAAGGGGAUAUGACCCGAGAGACCAAAGUUGAUGCCCCUUUAUCAACUAAGACGGACCCUAAGGUUAAGGAAACAAAAGUUACCUAUGGGUCGAGGGUUCAGGGCCUGGCUGACACGGCAAAUUUCUAAA
rnacentral:lncRNA from 1 species